UGGUGGGUAGUUUGACUGGGGCGGUCUCCUCCCAAAGCGUAACGGAGGAGCACGAAGGUUAGCUAAUCCUGGUCGGACAUCAGGAGGUUAGUGCAAUGGCAUAAGCUAGCUUGACUGCGAGCGUGACGGCGCGAGCAGGUGCGAAAGCAGGUCAUAGUGAUCCGGUGGUUCUGAAUGGAAGGGCCAUCGCUCAACGGAUAAAAGGUACUCCGGGGAUAACAGGCUGAUACCGCCCAAGAGUUCAUAUCGACGGCGGUGUUUGGCACCUCGAUGUCGGCUCAUCACAUCCUGGGGCUGAAGUAGGUCCCAAGGGUAUGGCUGUUCGCCAUUUAAAGUGGUACGCGAGCUGGGUUUAGAACGUCGUGAGACAGUUCGGUCCCUAUCUGCCGUGGGCGCUGGAGAAUUGAGGGGGGCUGCUCCUAGUACGAGAGGACCGGAGUGGACGCAUCACUGGUGUUCGGGUUGUCAUGCCAAUGGC
rnacentral:rRNA from 1 species